rnacentral:rRNA from 1 species
AGGACGAACGCUGGCGGCGUGCCUAAUACAUGCAAGUCGAACGGUCUUUCUAUGGAAGCUUGCUUCCACUGAGAAGAUAGUGGCGAACGGGUGAGUAACACGUGGGUAACCUGCCCAUAAGAGGGGGGAUAACAUCCGGAAACGGGUGCUAAUACCGCAUAGUUUUCUUGAUCGCAUGAUUGAGAAAGGAAAGACGGCCUUUGUGCUGUCGCUUAUGGAUGGACCCGCGGCGUAUUAGUUAGUUGGUGAGGUAACGGCUCACCAAGACGAUGAUACGUAGCCGACCUGAGAGGGUGAUCGGCCACAUUGGGACUGAGACACGGCCCAAACUCCUACGGGAGGCAGCAGUAGGGAAUCUUCCGCAAUGGACGAAAGUCUGACGGAGCAACGCCGCGUGAGUGAAGAAAGGUUUUCGGAUCGUAAAACUCUGUUGUCAGAGAAGAACAAGUUGGAGAGUAACUGCUCCAGCCUUGACGGUAUCUGACCAGAAAGCCACGGCUAACUACGUGCCAGCCGCAGC